AUUGAACGCUGGCGGCAUGCCUUACACAUGCAAGUCGAACGGCAGCACGGGAGCAAUCCUGGUGGCGAGUGGCGAACGGGUGAGUAAUAUAUCGGAACGUGCCCAGUCGUGGGGAUAACGUAGCGAAAGCUACGCUAAUACCGCAUACGAUCUAUGGAUGAAAGCGGGGGAUCGCAAGACCUCGCGCGAUUGGAGCGGCCGAUAUCAGAUUAGGUAGUUGGUGAGGUAAAGGCUCACCAAGCCGACGAUCUGUAGCUGGUCUGAGAGGACGACCAGCCACACUGGGACUGAGACACGGCCCAGACUCCUACGGGAGGCAGCAGUGGGGAAUUUUGGACAAUGGGCGCAAGCCUGAUCCAGCAAUGCCGCGUGCAGGAUGAAGGCCUCGGUGUAACUGCUUUGU
rnacentral:rRNA from 1 species